rnacentral:rRNA from 1 species
UACGAAGGGUGCAAGCGUUACUCGGAAUUACUGGGCGUAAAGCGUGCGUAGGUGGUUUGUUAAGUCUGAUGUGAAAGCCCUGGGCUCAACCUGGGAAUUGCAUUGGAUACUGGCAGGCUAGAGUGCGGUAGAGGGUAGUGGAAUUCCCGGUGUAGCAGUGUAAUGCGUAGAGAUCGGGAGGAACAUCCGUGGCGAAGGCGACUACCUGGACCAGCACUGACACUGAGGCACGAAAGCGUGGGGAGCAAACAGG